rnacentral:rRNA from 1 species
GACGAACGCUGGCGGCGUGCUUAACACAUGCAAGUCGAACGGUGAAGCGCCUUCCUUUUUGGUGGGUGUGGAUGAGUGGCGAACGGGUGAGUAACACGUGAGUAACCUGCCCCCUUCUUCUGGAUAACCGCAUGAAAGUGUGGCUAAUACGGGAUAUUCUGGGUCUGUCGCAUGAUGGGUCUGGGAAAGAUAUUGUUUCGGUGGGGGAUGGGCUCGCGGCCUAUCAGUUUGUUGGUGGGGCGAUGGCCUACCAAGGCGGUGACGGGUAGACGGCCUGGGAGGGUGGACAGUCACACUGGGACUGAGACACGGGCCAGACUCCGACGGAGGCAGCAGUGGGGAAUAUUGCACAAUGGGCGCAAGCCUGAUGCAGCGACGCGGCGGGAGGGAUGGAGGCCGGCGGGUUGUGAACCUCUUUCGCCAGUGAAGCAGGCCUGCCUCGUUUGUGGGUGGGUUGACGGUAGCUGGAGAAGAAGCGCCGGCUAACUACGUG